CAGCCCUGUCAUCAGGUACUUC
rnacentral:siRNA from 1 species